rnacentral:rRNA from 1 species
CCUAGGGGGCUGCAGUGGGGAAUAUUGGACAAUGGGCGAAAGCCUGAUCCAGCCAUGCCGCGUGUGUGAAGAAGGCCUUCGGGUUGUAAAGCACUUUCAGUGGGGAAGAAAGCCUUGGGGCUAAUACCCUCGAGGAAGGACAUCACCCACAGAAGAAGCACCGGCUAACUCCGUGCCAGCAGCCGCGGUAAUACGGAGGGUGCGAGCGUUAAUCGGAAUUACUGGGCGUAAAGCGCGCGUAGGCGGUCUGAUAAGCCGGUUGUGAAAGCCCCGGGCUCAACCUGGGAACGGCAUCCGGAACUGUCAGGCUAGAGUGCAGGAGAGGAAGGUAGAAUUCCCGGUGUAGCGGUGAAAUGCGUAGAGAUCGGGAGGAAUACCAGUGGCGAAGGCGGUCUUCUGGACUGACACUGACGCUGAGGUGCGAAAGCGUGGGUAGCAAACAGGAUUAGAUACCCGGGUAGUC